UUUCCGUAGGUGAACCUGCGGAAGGAUCAUUAUUGAAUAAACCUGACGUGGUUGUAGCUGGCCCUUUCGGGAGCAUGUGCACACCCGUCGUCUUUAUCUUUCCACCUGUGCACCUUUUGUAGACCUGGAUGUAACACUUUCCGAGGCAACUCGGUCGGGAGGAAUGCUGUCAGCUUUCCUUGAAUGUCCAGGCCUAUGUUUUCAUAUACCCCAAAGAAUGUAACAGAAUGUAUUAUUGGGCCUUGUGCCUAUAAACUAUAUACAACUUUCAGCAACGGAUCUCUUGGCUCUC
rnacentral:misc_RNA from 1 species